rnacentral:lncRNA from 1 species
CUCUUCCUUCUCACCUUUUUCUCCAAUUCAAUCCAUGAGGCCUUCAAUGCCAUCCUCCUCCUUCAUGCAUGCCGACCUCCACGACCCCAUCCUCUCCCUCGAUAGUGGCUCCCUCCAUCUCUACCUUUUCCUCACCGACAACCCCUUCCAUAUGAGUAAGGGAUAUUUUCAUCCAUUGAGAAGAAAAGCUAACACUAUUUAUUGAUAGGUGAAUAAUUGGACCAUAUUAGAAUAUAUUGAUAAUUAAAAAGAUCAGU